UCCAUGAUGGUUGCAGCGAUUAUUGU
rnacentral:sRNA from 1 species